AUGGACAUAUAUAAAUUUCUAUUCCAUGCUUUCAACCUUAGAUCUUGUUUUUCCGAAGAGAUUUAAUAUGAUGAACUAGAUUGUUGCAGACACAAAGACAGUGAGGACUCAGUGAUCGUAGACGUAAUCUAUUAUCUUAGGUGUGAUCAUCGCUUAAGGUAUGGACCCCUUCCCACAUAUGUGUACGUAUUUAGAUUUCCACUACCUCGUAGUUGGAAAUUUAGAUUCGUUACUGUCUGCUUUUGUGAUCUUCAAGAUUUUGUGAUAUUAUAUUUAAAUAUAUAGUUAUAUUGUUUUAGCAAAUAUUGAUUAUGAUGCACUGAACUACUGAUUGUGUCGCACCGAAAGGUGACGCGCUGAAAAACUGAAUGUGAACUACUGAAUGUGAUUAUGUGACACGCUGAAUGUGAACUGACUACGCAUUGAACUACUGAAUGUGACACACUGAAGGUUGCAAGGAUUGUCGUGAAGAUUUUGAUGGAUGGUUCGAGGGAUUAAAGACGCACAUGGAUUUUCAUAAAAGUUUAAAAUGUUUUGUACAAUAUUUCGAUUCAUUUGAAAUAAUGUAAAUUUUUACAAUUUAUGGAAUGAUGUUUUGACC